UCCUAAGAGCUCCUAUCGACGGAGUCGUUUGGCACCUCGAUGUCGACUCAUCACAUCCUGGAGCUGAAGAAGGUACCAAGGGUUCGGCUGUUCGCCGAUUAAGUGGUACGUGAGUUGGGUUUAGAACGUCGUGAGACAGUUUGGUUCCUAUCUUCUAUAGAUAUUUUGAAAAAUGAAAGAAUCUAACUCUAGUACGAGAGGACCGAGAAGGGUAAAUCUCUGGUGUAUCGGUUGUUAAAAGGCAUCGCCGAGUAGCUAAAUUUAUUUUGGAUAAUUACUGAAAGCAUCUAAGUAAGAAACCAUUCUUAAAAAUUUUUCAUAUAAAAACUGUAAAAGACGAUUACAUUAAUAGGUUUUAAGUGUAAGUGUUGUAAAAUAUUUAGCUUAAAAAUACUAAAAGUUUUAAAAAUUAAAAUAU
rnacentral:ncRNA from 1 species